CGGUGAGACCCCAAGAGGGGAGAAAGUAAAGGGGAGGUGAUUUGCUCAUCAAGGUCUACAUCGGUUCUCCAGCCACCCUGUAUUUUCAAGAAGUGGUCUCCAGGCAAGAGUAAUAUAAGUCAUCUACUGGGAAAUGAUGGUGGUGACCACUAUAUAAAUAAGACAUCAGGAAACUAACAAUUCCAUGUAUACUCGUGAGCCAGAGUUGGGAAAAAUGGAAGGGAUAUAAGGUCUGUCGAGAGAUCCCUGAAUACACAUUUAUGGAAAAGGAAACUUGCAAAAUGACAAAUGGUGAUGUUGCAGGAGCAAGACCCAGAAAGAAAAGCCAUAACCUCGCUGCUGGAAAAAAUGUUCUUGGACAUCAUUGAAAAGAACCAUGAACAUGGAGCUAAUUGGUAAAAAGUCUCAGGAAGCUAGUCAUAGAGGGGAACUUCCUCAACCUGGUGAAGAAUAUUUACAAAAAGACCUACAGCUUCAUGUUCCAAAAGAGGUUUCCAGCAAUGCAUCCUUGAGCUGUGUUGCUCUCUGCUCCUCCCGCUCAAUCUGCUUCCCUUCCUGGAUGGGCGUCACUGGUCGGCUGUCAACGGAUGGGGGUAUGCAGGGUCCCACACUGUCACUGCACGCCUUCCGCCACAUCUAACCGGAAGCCACGUUAGCAGAGAAGGAGAUGGUUAACCAGACCAAUCAGCUUGCAUCCUCAGGAAGCCAUUGCUGGUGUGCAGCUGUUGCAAAAUAUGUGAAAGGAGAAAGAGAGGUUGGAGGAAACCGUGGAGAAGAUGCCCCAGCCCGUGCUGGGUGACAGAGGUUUUACGGUGACUGCGUUUGUUUCAAGCUCUUAAGAACACAGCUCUUACGGCAGAGAAAACUUGUAAUACAAAGGGUUUGUGUCCCUGCUGGGAAAUGUACAACUGGAAUCUUACCCUCCCAAGAUCACGCUGACCUCGUGUGUACUGA